CUUUUGAUCAAGACCGUGAAAGUGUUUUUACCUGAUAUUGAUUUUUUUUUUCCUGACUGCUCUCGCAGGGUCAUUUGAGAGCAGAGAGAAUUUUUCCACCUUUAAAGGAGAUGAGAUUAGAUUGUGAAAUAUGUGAUGUUAUGCCCCUUUAAACAGCUAACAACCCUUGAUUUUCUCUUCAGAAACAGAGUGGCUGCAAACUCUCUAGUGGUCAAGAGGCAAGAAUACAUCAGCCUCUCCUGACCUUGCCCCACCCCUGCUGGCGCCCAGAUGCCUUACAUCUGGACAGCCUCACAGGGAUUCCAGGACUGGGACUGACACCCUUCUCCUGUGUAGCCAGCCGAGUCCAGGCUUCAAGUGAAAGGCCCAAAUAUGGAGAAAUAAAGGAUCGUACUUUGAAUGUGGCAAGAGAACACGAGUGCCCAGGCCCCAGAGGAGGCCCCCACCCACGAGCCGGCCUUUCAGAUCGCGUCAGGAUGAGCCAUGACCCCGGGGUGGAAGUGAGUACGGCGCUCGAUUUCAAUUUCAGUUUUACUGAUCCCCGAGCCCAGUUCUCUUUACAGC
rnacentral:lncRNA from 1 species